rnacentral:lncRNA from 1 species
GACAAAACCACAAUCAAAGAGUACACAUGGAGGAACUCAUGGCUCCAUCUGCAUAUGUAGCAGAGAGUUGCCUUAUCUAGCUUCAAUGGGAGGGGAGACUCUUGGUCUUAUGAAGGCUUGUUGCCUUAGCAUAGGGGAAUGGUAGAGGGGUGAGGUGGGAGUGGGUGGGUAGGUUGGGGAACACACUCAUAGAGGCAGGGGGUGGGAUGAGGUAGUUUGUAGAGGGAAGACUGGGGAGGAGGGACAACAUUUGAAAUGUAAAUAAAUAAAGUAACCAAUUAAUUAAAAGGCAGGGGCUAUUAGACAUUCUUAUAUCAUCUAAAGGCCACCUGGAGCUCUGGGUUAUGUAAAUCCAAAGAGAGCAGGUGCUUAGUCAAGAAAACAGGAAUUCUUUGUUCAGGGAACAGCUUCAAAAAGAAUGGUGAUUUAUAGAGGUAGAGGAUAUAUGUUGAUAGAGGACAGUUGGCAUCCUCUGGGCUACUCUACAUGCCCUGGGCACAUGCAACGGCACAUACCCACUCACAGACAUAUUCACAUACAUGUAAAGAAGUAACUAAGUAGAUCCUUUAAACUAAAACAAAGAGUUGAAUUACAGGCUCUGUCAACUCAUUUACUGAAGGUCUUCUAAGAAAAGCACCAUUCUCAUAUAGAUAAUAAAGCCUCAUUUCUCUACCCCAAGGUGGUCUCCAUUCUUUUUUUUUUUUUUGCUCCUGGAUUCUAUGAUGUUCUUUAGAAGUAUGUAGCUGCCUCUUGUGGAAGAUAGACAUGCAUGUUCUGAGAGCUCAAAGAAAAAAUUAUUUAUGGA